AUCCGGCUGACGAGUCCCAAAUAGGACGAAACGUGCGUCCAACUGGAU
rfam:Schistosoma curassoni strain Dakar, Senegal genome assembly, scaffold: SCTD_scaffold0018864